UACGGGGGGGGCAAGCGUUGUUCGGAAUUACUGGGCGUAAAGGGCUCGUAGGCGGCCAACUAAGUCAGACGUGAAAUCCCCAGGCUCAACCUGGGAACUGCGUCUGAUACUGGAUGGCUUGAAUUCGGGAGAGGGAUGCAGAAUUCCAGGUGUAGCGGUGAAAUGCGUAGAUAUCUGGAGGAAUACCGGUGGCGAAGGCGGCAUCCUGGACCGACAUUGACGCUGAUGAGCGAGAGCUAGGGGAGCAAACGGG
rnacentral:rRNA from 1 species